CUCCUCUGACGUUAGCGGCGGACGGGUGAGUAACACGUGGAUAACCUACCUAUAAGACUGGGAUAACUUCGGGAAACCGGAGCUAAUACCGGAUAAUAUAUUGAACCGCAUGGUUCAAUAGUGAAAGACGGUUUUGCUGUCACUUAUAGAUGGAUCCGCGCCGCAUUAGCUAGUUGGUAAGGUAACGGCUUACCAAGGCAACGAUGCGUAGCCGACCUGAGAGGGUGAUCGGCCACACUGGAACUGAGACACGGUCCAGACUCCUACGGGAGGCAGCAGUAGGGAAUCUUCCGCAAUGGGCGAAAGCCUGACGGAGCAACGCCGCGUGAGUGAUGAAGGUCUUCGGAUCGUAAAACUCUGUUAUUAGGGAAGAACAAAUGUGUAAGUAACUAUGCACGUCUUGACGGUACCUAAUCAGAAAGCCACGGCUAACUACGUGCCAGCAGCCGCGGUAAUACGUAGGUGGCAAGCGUUAUCCGGAAUUAUUGGGCGUAAAGCGCGCGUAGGCGGUUUUUUAAGUCUGAUGUGAAAGCCCACGGCUCAACCGUGGAGGGUCAUUGGAAACUGGAAAACUUGAGUGCAGAAGAGGAAAGUGGAAUUCCAUGUGUAGCGGUGAAAUGCGCAGAGAUAUGGAGGAACACCAGUGGCGA
rnacentral:rRNA from 1 species